AACGAGAACCGACGGCCUCGUCGGCGCGCGCUCCAUCACCACCACGACCACCACCUCCCUCGUCGUCUUCACGAUAUCGUGCCGCCCCUGCCGCUCUUUUUAUUUUUGUUUUGUUUGUGUUGCCUGGCGACGUUGUGGCAUACAAUCGAAAACAAAAGCGUAUCGAGGUCGCGCGGGACUACCAAAAAAUAAAAUAAAAUAAAACAUCGCGAACAGAUAUGUUGCGUCGGCUCCACGUGGCACACGCGACGGCGGGAACGGCACUGGCGGCGCGUCAGCUGGCCCGGCUACGCUCACAAGCCGCGGCUGCCGCAUCUUCGCCGCAAUCCCCCUCGCUGCGGCACGCCCUGCGCGUGCCGCAGCGAGGCUUCAUGGACUCUCUCUUUGGUCGCUCGCAGGCAAAAGUGAAGCUCGACGACGUCGCCUACGACAAGUCCGCGCCGCGCUACAGCGGCACGAUCUUUGGGAUGCCAGCGGACAACGUCAUCUUCUACUCGAAGGUGGCUGCCAGCACGUUCGCGAUGUUGGCUGUCGUGUACGUUUUCUUCAAGGGUUACGUUCUUCUCUCUCGCUUUAGUCUGCAGACGGUCGCCCGACUGGGUUUUAUGAGCGGCUUCGCGUGCUGUCUUAUCUGCUACACUGUCGCCCUCUCCCUUGUCCGGCGCUACCGCAUCAAUGCAGAGACGGUGUACAACCAAUCCAUCGCGCUUGUCAUGCACAAUGAGAAGGUGGUGCAGCACCUCGGUACGCACCCACGCACAGGCGACUUCCGCACGUACAACGCGACCGGCGGCUUCAAGCUGCCGUUAAUGCGCCGCAUCCGCAGUGGCUCGUACGAGUUGUCGGACCUCCUAGGGCUGAAGCAGCGCCGACUGCAGAUGCUCCUCACGCUGAAGAAUCCCUCCAGCGGCAACGAAGGCCUGGUCUCGUGUGACGUGCGCAAGGAGAGCACCGGAUUCUUGACCUCCACGAAUGUGUACAAGUCGCUCUCCAUCACGCUCUAUUCGGAGAACAAGACGACGGAGCCGGAGACGAUCAUCCUGAUCGGCAAGCCAGAGGAUGUCGUGUACCGCUCAUUCAUCCUGCGCUGAGGUGGAGCACGUCCGUGCGGCGCGGCAAAGGAGCGAUAUGAAGAUGUGCGUGCGCGGGUGGAAAAGAGAAGUGGGAUAGGGAUGGUGGGAUGGUGGGUAGGUUUUAGCAAGGCAACGAGAAGUCAAGCCAAGGUGGAUGUGUUACCUGUCAGGGGAGGGAUAGAGUGAAGUGGAGGGGGGAUUGUGUGCCUCCUCCCUCUCUCAAUGUGUGGCCCCGCGUGUUCGGCUUCAGGGUAGAGGAGUGAACUGGAGACGGCAUCACGGUGGCGACGUGGUCGGUGUCUGAACCCACGAGUUACGGCGAUCAGCUACUGAAAACGGAAUGGAACAGCCGACAAGCUCAUUUCCUCACCCAUGCACGCGCGGCUCAUCUCUCUCCCCUGAUAUCGCUCGCUCUGCAGUCUCGCCGCUGGAGAACGGGGGAGUGCGCGCCCAGCAGCAACGGCGUCGCUGCCAUCCACAUCUGUGCAAGUUGGUGCGCCUUUUCUCCUCGUUUUUGUUUUCUGUUGGUUUGGUUCGAGCCAGUGAUGGCUCUGUCCUCGUUGGUUCGUUCUUGCCGCCCUGUAGCCCCACGCCAUCCCCCUCCCCCUUUUCCUUCUCUCCACCUCGCCUCCUUGUGGACGGACAGGCAUCGGUGGAUUGCGCUUGUUCGUGUGCGGUGGCACGACGGCUCUUAUAUAUGUCUUGUCUCACAGAUAUUGUGGUGGUUCUUGGUGGCUUCCUUCUUGGCGCCUGCGUGUGUCUUUCUGUUCGCGUGAUGCGUACGAGCGCCGGUUCGCCCGCCCUGCCUCACAAUCGCGUUUUGUUUCGCUCUCGCUCCUCCAUCUUUUGUCACUAUCGUUCAUGUGUUUGUCUGUGUGCCGGUGCGUGUGUGUGUGUGUGUGUGUGUGUGUGUGUGUGCAUGGCUGGUGGAAAACUACUUCUCCCCGCCUGCUCUCCUCUCUCGCUCGAUUGCUUUCGUUCUUCCUUUUUUUUUAUAGGAGGAGGGGUUGUGUGUAUCAAGUCGUCUUCAUAG
rnacentral:misc_RNA from 1 species